AACAUGUAUUAGCUUUUCUGUAGUCCAUCUCAUCAGAACUCUACAAUUAAGCGUGCUUGAACUGGAGUAGUAUAAGGAUAGGUGACCUUCUGGAAAGUUUUCCAGAAAAUGUUC
rnacentral:rRNA from 1 species